CGGCCCCCCGGCGUUCCCUCUCCGCGCACCUCCCGGCCCGCGCUAGGUAGCAGGCAAGAGUGUGGUUAUCGUUGGACCAGGAUUCAGGAUCUGACUGAGUAGCUGACUCUUAAUCCAGUUUGUGUUGAUCACCAGGAGGAUCUGGACCUCAGUAUUACCACAUCUAGAGCUAUAAUCACAUCCCUGUUAAGCCUUCCUGAGAUCACACCAAAUGUCCUUGAUGGGAAUUGUAAACAACCCUUACUUCUGGUUUCUAAUGAUAUUCCAGGAAAGGAGCCUAACUAGAGUCAGUGAUAUGCCAACUCCACCUUUGCCUUCCACCAUGUUUGGAAGCUCCCUGAGGCCUCACCAGGAGCAGAUGCUCGUCCCAUGCUUCCUAUAAGCCUGCAGAACUGGAAAAGAAAGCUGGAUAAAGUAUUUAUAGAAGAUAGAGGACCUGUGGUGGCUCAUGCCUGUAAUCCAAGGUGGAAGGAUUGCUUGAGGCCAGAAGUUCAAGACCAGUCCAAGCAACAUAGCAAGGCCCCAUCUCUACAAAAAAUGAAAAUAAAAUUAGCCGAGCGUGAUGGCUCAUGCCUGUAGUUCUAGCUUCUAGAGAGGCUGAGGCAGGAGGAUUGCUUGAGUCCAGGAGUUCAAGAUUACAGUGAGCUAUGGUCACACCACUGCACUCCAGCCUGGGUGAUGGAGUGAGACUGUCUCAAUAAAAAGACAAAAAGGCUGGCCAGGGGCAGUGGUUCAUGCCUGUAAACCCAGCACUUUGGGAGGCAAAGGCAGGAGGAUUGCUUAAGCCCAGGAAUUUGAGAUCAGCCUGGACAACAUGGUGAGACCCCCAUCUCUACAAAAAUUUUUUUUAAAAGUUACCCAGGCAUGGUGUUGCACAUCUGUGUUCCCAGCUACUGGGGAGGCUGAGACGGGAGGAUCACUUGAGUCCAGGAAGUUGAGAGGUUGAGGCUGCUGUGAGCUGUGAUUGUGCCACUGCACUUUAGCCUGGACAACAGAGGGAGACCCUGUCAACAACAACAACAACAACAAAAAAGCAAAACAUCAUAGGCUGCAGAAAUAAACUUUCUUGUCAAUUGUGUCUUUAACCAUGACCAUUUUGAGUCAUUUCCACAGUGAGUUGCCUAAUUUUGAUGCAUUUCUGAAAACUCUUUAUAAGCAAGUAAAAUCCUAGAGAAUUGUGCCUUCAAGGAGACUCAUGGAAAGGAUGGAAAGAACUCUUGAAUACAUGUUUCUGAUAGCUUUAUGAUCAUAUCAUUUGGACUGGGUAAGAAUUCCCAGAACUCAUGAAGAGACUGACUAUUUAUUAAUCCAAGCAGGAAAAGAAUUAAUUGAAUACCAAGGAAAUACUGUGCCAGAGAUUUUCAUGCUAAAUCAGUCAGCACCGAAAUCGUUAAGAUGUGUAGUUUGAAUGAACUCCAUGAUCCUAGUCAAAUUUCCUAUGAUGACCCAUUUAAUAAACAGUGCUAUGCACCUGAAUUGGAGAAACAGAAUUGAUACUUAAAUCCAAUGUUAAUCAUAGAUUCAUGGAAAGCCUAAAUGGCUGCUUGGGUCUUCCUGAGCCCUUAAAGCUUCCAUUAUUAAAGGCUCUGCACUUUAUAAGUUAUCACUGAAGAGAGAAAAUGAUCCAGAUUUAAAAUACACAUAUUGGUGUGGUGAAUGUUCUAAAUUGCGAAAAUGGUUUAUGACCAACAUUUGGUUUGUCAUGCUCACAAUCCUGGAAAUACAUUCAAAACUUCAGGUACAUUUCUGCUACCUGAUGGGCUAUUUGAAUAUAUAGAGAGGGAUUUCAUUCAAUUGCCAUUUUCAUUGCAUGUUUUUUGGUUGUAUAGAAGCUUUCCCAUGCAAGGAGGCUGAUGCUGUUAUUACAGUAGCUAAAAGGUUAGUAGGAAAUGUGUUUUCCCCCAUGGGGCAUUCCUGGAGAAAUCUCUAGCAAUAAAGGUACUUGUUUGACUGGACAAGUUGUAAAACAGUUUAAUAAGGUUUUUUUUAGGUGUCAUAGCAUUAGGCAAAGCUAACUGAAUUGACUGGAUUGUCAUAGUCAAACAUAUUGCAGAUCCGCUUCCAAUAGAAGACAAUGAAAUAGUCACUGGAAAGCCUGUGCUCCUAAUUUUAGAACCUCAUGUAUCUUCUGCUCCUAAACUCUGAUAGGACUAAAUGCUGUGAGGCCUCAAUGCAUUAUGUUAAUGUGUAUUUUCACCAGGUCAAGGAAGCUUUUCCUGAUCCACUAACUAAGGACAAUCAAACCCUUCAUGAUCUAGAAUCUGGAGACUGUGUCUUCUGGGAAUAGUAUCAGAGAAAGACUGCCCUUACUGCCCACAUGUAGCAAAACUUUGAGACGUUGAAUUAUGGGUCCAUAAUCUCACAACUCAGAGGGGCACCUCUAGACUCUUGGAACUGUAUAUCUAUUGGAGACUUUAAGGUAAAGCUGAACAGAGAGACGUUUUUCUCCAGAAGCAGACAGCACCAUAGUCAUGGACAGCUUUCCCAAGAUCACAGAUCAAGACUUCUCUGCCGUCAUGAGACUCAUAACCUCUUAAUUUUUUCUUGCUUAUGCUUCUGUGAACAAUAGAAUUGGAAAAGGGGUGGUCCCGCGUGCACCCAUAGGGUAUACUUUUAUUUGUGGAGGAUUUUGCUGCCAACCUUAUACAUGGGCAAACUUAUGCCUUCAUGGAUGGAAGAUAAAGGGCUAAUAUGGGUUAGAAAUUUUAAUGGUACCUUUGUUUCUCCAUAAUCAUUCAGAAACAGAACACUGGUCCACUCUUGUUAACCUACAUCAUAGGUUGAAGAGAACAUUGCCAGGAGGCCUUCAUCCUUCCAGAUGGGCACCAUUUGUUGGGUCUUUUUCCGUGGUAUGAAGAAAAUGAAGCAAUGAUUAGAAAUUGGUCCCUCGGCCGGGCACAAUGGCUCAUGCCUGUAAUCCCAUCACUUUGGCAGGCCGAGGCGGGUGGAUCACCUGAGGUCAGGAGUUUGAGACCAGCCUGACCAAUGUGGUGAAACGCCAUCUCUACUAAAAAUACAAAAAUUAGCUGGGUGUGAUGGUGCACACCUGUAAUCCAGCUACUCGGGAGGCUGAGACAGGAGAAUUGCUUGAACCUGGGAGGCAGAGGUUGCAGUGAGCCAAGAUCACCCCACUGCAUUCCAGGUUGGGCAACAGAGCAAGACUCUGUCUCAAAAAAAAAAGAAGAAAGAAAGAAAUUGAUCCCUCAUAAUAGGCUGUAUAGCAGAUUCUACUGCAAAGGCUAUGGUUGCACAACAGACUUCUUUGAAUUUGCUUGCUAAACUUUUACUGGAUAAUACUGGGAUUACAGGUGUGAGCCACUGUGCCCAGCCUCUCCUGUUUAACUGUAUUCAUUCUAAUGUUUACUUACUUCUUUAAUUUGUAAAAUUGGGUCACUUAGAGUUUUUUUAGCCUAUCUUGCCAUUUAGCCACUGUUACUGAUAAUUUGGAUGGAAAAGAAAAAUAAAUUAUAUCACCUCUCAUCUUCAGUGUAUAUAUGUGUUAACUUAGUAAAUAUAGUAUUCUUUCUCGUUCCUAAUGAAAAUUUAGUUUACGUACUGAAACACUGCAAACUUUUAUAAAUAUUGUGAUGUAUUUGACCAAUACAAAGGAUCUUUUUAGAAACAGCAAACAGUUCUCAGAUUAUAGGAAUUACUCAUUUAAUGAUAGUUUCUUCUU
rnacentral:lncRNA from 10 species